UACGGAGGGGGCUAGCGUUGUUCGGAAUUACUGGGCGUAAAGCGCACGUAGGCGGACCCUCAAGUUGGGGGUGAAAUCCCGGGGCUCAACCCCGGAACUGCCUCCAAAACUGCUGGUCUGGAGGUCGAGAGAGGUGAGUGGAAUUCCGAGUGUAGAGGUGAAAUUCGUAGAUAUUCGGAGGAACACCAGUGGCGAAGGCGGCUCACUGGCUCGAUACUGACGCUGAGGUGCGAAAGCGUGGGGAGCAAACAGG
rnacentral:rRNA from 1 species